rnacentral:rRNA from 1 species
GGAUGACGUCAAAUCAUCACGGCCCUUACGUCCUGGGCCACACACGUGCUACAAUGGUAGGGACAGAGAGCAGCCACUUCGCGAGAAGGAGCGAAUCUAUAAACCCUAUCACAGUUCGGAUCGUAGUCUGCAACUCGACUACGUGAAGCUGGAAUCGCUAGUAAUCGCAUAUCAGCCAUGAUGCGGUGAAUACGUUCCCGGGCCUUGUACACACCGCCCGUCACACCAUGGGAGUGGGAUGCAAAAGAAGUAGUUAGUCUAACCUUCGGGAGGACGAUUACCACUUUGUGUUUCAUGACUGGGGUGAAGUCGUAACAAGGUAACCCUAGGGGAAC